rnacentral:misc_RNA from 1 species
UUUCCGUAGGUGAACCUGCGGAAGGAUCAUUAUUGAAUAACUGAAGUCGGUUGAGCUGGUCCUCUGGACAUGUGCUCGCUGCUUCUAUUCAUUCUAUCCACCUGUGCACCUUUUGUAGAGCUUUGAAGAGGGUCUUGACUUAGGUUGAGAUUAGUAUUCGGGUUUCUAUGUCUUAUACAAACUCUUUGAAUGUCUUGAAUGUCUUUAUAGGGACUUAAUUGACCCUUUAAACUUAAACAACUUUCAGCAACGGAUCUCUUGGCUCUCGCAUCGAUGAAGAACGCAGC